rnacentral:rRNA from 1 species
UGGGGGAUAUUGCACAAUGGGCGAAAGCCUGAUGCAGCGACGCCGCGUGGGGGAUGAAGGCCUUCGGGUUGUAAACUUCUUUUGCUCUGAACAAGGCAUGCUAAUGGGUGUGUUGAGUGUAGGGGUUGAUUAGCGCCGGCUAACUACGUGCCAGCAGCCGCGGUAAUACGUAGGGCGCGAGCGUUGUCCGGAAUUAUUGGGCGUAAAGGGCUUGUAGGUGGCUGGUUGCGUCUGUCGUGAAAGCUCAUGGCUUAACUGUGGGUUUGCGGUGGGUACGGGCUGGCUUGGGUGCAGUAGGAGAGGCUGGAAUUCCUGGUGUAGCGGUGGAAUGCGCAGAUAUCAGGAGGAAUACCGGUGGCGAAGGCGGGUCUCUGGGCUGUUACUGACACUGAGGAGCGAAAGCAUGGGGAGCGAACAGG